rnacentral:rRNA from 1 species
GGGUUGUGAGGUUAAGCGACUAAGCGUACACGGUGGAUGCCCUGGCAGUCAGAGGCGAUGAAGGACGUGCUAAUCUGCGAUAAGCGCCGGUAAGGUGAUAUGAACCGUUAUAACCGGCGAUUUCCGAAUGGGGAAACCCAGUGUGAUUCGUCACACUAUCAUUAACUGAAUCCAUAGGUUAAUGAGGCGAACCGGGGGAACUGAAACAUCUAAGUACCCCGAGGAAAAGAAAUCAACCGAGAUUCCCCCAGUAGCGGCGAGCGAACGGGGAGGAGCCCAGAGCCUGAAUCAGCAUGUGUGUUAGUGGAAGCGUCUGGAAAGGCGCGCGAUACAGGGUGACAGCCCCGUACACAAAAGCGCAUGUGCUGUGAGCUCGAUGAGUAGGGCGGGACACGUGGUAUCCUGUCUGAAUAUGGGGGGACCAUCCUCCAAGGCUAAAUACUCCUGACUGACCGAUAGUGAACCAGUACCGUGAGGGAAAGGCGAAAAGAACCCCGGCGAGGGGAGUGAAAAAGAACCUGAAACCGUGUACGUACAAGCAGUGGGAGCACCCUUCGGGGUGUGACUGCGUACCUUUUGUAUAAUGGGUCAGCG